GUUUAGCGGACCUGUCUGCUAGGUGCGGCUCUGAGAAAGAGGGUCCCCUUUGAAGAAGCCUCCCAGGACUCCUGGAGAGAGUUUGGGACCUUGCUGCCGGACUGCUUCGCACAACACUGGCUGCUUCAGUUGCUAUGCAACCUGAACCUGAGGAAUCACUGACUACUGCUCUGGACCCUGCCAAUGCACCUCUGCCUAUCCGACCUCCUGCUCCUGCUCCUCAGGUGUCUGCCCCUUUGGCUCCUCCUCUAGCCCCCUCCUCAUCUCCCGGGCUGCUCCAACCACCCAACUCUGGCUCCCACCUUCACUCCUCCUGUCACUCACUCUCUAGCUGCCCUGAGGAGCACAGAUGAGUUUGGGAGCAGGCUAGGACACAUGCAGAUGAGGUUCAUCAAACUAAUGCUGCCCAUCCACCUGGGGCCGAGGUGGUUCCCAAUAAUUCAAGAUGAGGAAGAAAAUCAAUCUAAUUUCUUAGAAUGGCUUACAAAGGCUCUCUUACAAUAUACUAGCCUAGAUCCUGACAGCCCAGAGAACAGACAGCUCCUUAUGACCCCCUUUGUCUUACAGAGCUUCCCCUACAUCAGGGCUAAACUUAACCGUCUGGGAAGAGGGCCUCUGACCCCACAGGCAGAAGUCUUAGUGGUGGCAUUUAAGGUGCACCAUGGGAGAUGAGAAAGCCCAUAAACAGAACUGCCAAAUGCUGGCACACACUAUCCACCAGCUUCCCAAAGGCCUCCAGGUCACUGUUUUAAGUGUGGUAGAGAAGGCCACUGGGCUUGUGCCUGCCCUGCCCCACAUGGACCACCAUCUGGGCCUUGUCCCGAGUGCCACCAAGAGGGACACUGGUCAGCUGACUGCCCCCAUGCACCUCGUGACAUGGGGACAUCAAAUGAAGACCCACCCUCCAGUCAAUCUCCUAGGCUUGGCCAUGGGUGAGUAUUGAAGGUGCCAUUUCUCACGGGGAACUAAGGGUAGCCAUUAUAGUAUCAGGGUGAUUCAUUUCAUUCCUUUUAGACACUGGAGCUGCUUACUCAGUCCUGAGGGAGUUUGGGGUCCCACCUCUCCUUCUCAUCUCCCUAUUGUCGGGUAGGGGGAGAGCUUUACCUACCUCAUCAGACCCCACCACUUAAUUGUAUUUCCAGGGGUAUCCCUCUCACAUACACAUUUUUAGUUGUGCCAACCUGUCCUGUGUCCCUAAUGGGAAGAGAUUUUCUAGCUAAGGUAGGAGCUUUUAUUUCGUUUGCUCCCCCAUUUGCCUUACUCCAGACUCAUCAGCAGCUUCUCUCCUUCUCCUCCUAGUCACCCAGCCUACUAGCUCUCACAUUUCAUUUCCCUUGCCAGUCUCUCAGGUGGACCCCAAAGUCCGGGACACCCAGAACCCUUCUAUCGCUAGGCACCAUCCCCCUAUUAUUAUCCAGCUGCAGGACCCUACCAGGAACAUUACCCAAGCUCAGUAACCUCUCUCACUCCAGAGCCUUAGGGAACUUAAGCCUAUCAUUUCUGACCAUCUCAGAAAAAAGCUGCUCUAGAUUUCUCUCUCUCUCUCUCUCUCUCUCUCUCUCUCUCUCUCUCUCUCUCUCUCUCUCUCAUUCUCUCUCCUCUCUCUCUCUCUCUUGCUAAUACUAACCAAUAGAUAACAGAGUACUAAACAUUAUAAUUUCAUAGCUACCAGCUCAAGGUUUUAAAUUCCCUGUGACUGCUUCUUAAUAUGUUUAAAAAUUCUUCCAAGCUCCAGAGCCAUCUUGAAUCCACCUGGAUAGGUCAGAUCCACUUCAGAUAAGUAUAAUUCAAACUUUCCUGGUCCCAGGGACCGGUCCCCCCCCCCCCGUCACCCUGGGACCCUGCAGGGACCCCCCUUCAAGGUAAUAUUUUUUUUUCUAAACUUCCUCUUCUGCCUCACCAGCACCUUGUCAGACCCAAAUAGUUAUAGAGCCUGAAGCAGCAGAAGGUGAUGGACAAUUACCAAAGCAGUGGAGGACAAUCCAUUACCCCAGGGCAUCCGGUUGCCCCGAAAGCCCCCUUUCCAACCCCCCAAAAUUAACUGACGCCCAACGAGUCAGCCAGAAGCAGUUUCAGGAGACACAGCGCCCCCAUUUCCUUUCACCCACCAUUUUUUAUAAGAACAAAGAGUCUGGUAUGUUAGAAUUCCUAGCCACUCCCCCAGCUACAUGACCACACAUGUGCUAUCCAGUAGCCAGGCAAAAUGCUUAGUCAUCCCAGGGCCUUACGUCCUAUGUAAUUCGUGUGCUGCAUGAUCAUGUAACUUGCACACAGUGUGAUCACAUAAUCUAUGUGCAUGCGUGGCAUAGCUACAUAAGCCCAUAUGUGCAUGUGCAGGGGAAUCCAUAAAAGUGGGUUCCACCUAUUCCUCCCCCCUCUUCCUGCAUGGUCAUUCCAUAGGCUUAUGCACACCUUCUCUAUUUCCUUUCCUUAAUAAACUUUUUCUUUUGUUUGUUUUUCAAGACAGGGUUUCUCAGCAUAGUUUUGGUGCCUGUCCUGGAUCUUGCUCUGUAGACCAGGCUGGCCUUGAACUCACAGAGAUCCGCCUGCCUCUGCCUCCAAGUGCUGGGAUUAAAGGCAUGUGCCACUAUCACCUGGCUCCCUUAAUAAACUCUUCUAGUGGGUUUUGCUGUACUUCAUGGCUUGUCUCACAUGGUAAACAGUGCUGCUGUGGGAUGUCCUGUAUGCUGUAAAUAUAUGUUGCUAUGAUUGAUAAAUAAAAAGGUGAUUGACCAGUAGCCAGGCAGGAAGGAUCGUGUA